CGUACACUCCUGCGGGAGGCAGCAGUGGGGAAUUUUGGACAAUGGGGGCAACCCUGAUCCAGCAAUGCCGCGUGAGUGAAGAAGGCCUUCGGGUUGUAAAGCUCUUUUGUCAGGGAAGAAACGGUGGUGGCGAAUAACUACUACUAAUGACGGUACCUGAAGAAUAAGCACCGGCUAACUACGUGCCAGCAGCCGCGGUAAUACGUAGGGUGCAAGCGUUACUCGGAAUUACUGGGCGUAAAGCGUGCGCAGGCGGUUGUGUAAGUCAGAUGUGAAAUCCCCGGGCUCAACCUGGGAAUGGCAUUUGAGACUGAACGGCUAGAGUGUGUCAGAGGGGGGUAGAAUUCCACGUGUAGCAGUGAAAUGCGUAGAUAUGUGGAGGAAUACCGAUGGCGAAGGCAGCUCCCUGGGGUAACACUGACGCUCAUGCACGAAAGCGUGGGGAGCAAACAGGAUUAGAAACCCUAGUAGUCCC
rnacentral:rRNA from 1 species